CAUGCAAGUCGAGCGAACAGAUAAGGAGCUUGCUCCUUUGACGUUAGCGGCGGACGGGUGAGUAACACGUGGGUAACCUACCUAUAAGACUGGAAUAACUCCGGGAAACCGGGGCUAAUGCCGGAUAACAUGUUGAACCGCAUGGUUCUACAGUGAAAGACGGUCUUGCUGUCACUUAUAGAUGGACCCGCGCCGUAUUAGCUAGUUGGUGGGGUAACGGCCUACCAAGGCGACGAUACGUAGCCGACCUGAGAGGGUGAUCGGCCACACUGGAACUGAGACACGGUCCAGACUCCUACGGGAGGCAGCAGUAGGGAAUCUUCCGCAAUGGGCGAAAGCCUGACGGAGCAACGCCGCGUGAGUGAUGAAGGUCUUCGGAUCGUAAAGCUCUGUUGUUAGGGAAGAACAAAUGUGUAAGUAACUGUGCACAUCUUGACGGUACCUAACCAGAAAGCCACGGCUAACUACGUGCAGCAGCCGCGGUAAUCCGUAGGUGGCAGGCGUAUCCGGAUUAU
rnacentral:rRNA from 1 species